rnacentral:rRNA from 1 species
AUGGGUGAUAAGGUCCGUGUUCGAAAGGGAAACAGCCCAGACCACCAGCUAAGGUCCCAAAAUAUAUGUUAAGUGGAAAAGGAUGUGGCGUUGCCCAGACAACUAGGAUGUUGGCUUAGAAGCAGCCAUCAUUUAAAGAGUGCGUAAUAGCUCACUAGUCGAGUGACACUGCGCCGAAAAUGUACCGGGGCUAAACAUAUUACCGAAGCUGUGGAUUGUCCUUUGGACAAUGGUAGGAGAGCGUUCUAAGGGCGUUGAAGCAUGAUCGUAAGGACAUGUGGAGCGCUUAGAAGCUG